rnacentral:lncRNA from 1 species
GGAUCCAAUUUAUAGAUGGAUGAUAAUGGAGCUGUAACUAAUUGGUAGUGGGCCAUUCAAGCCAUUCUAACUUUAUUUUGGGUGGUGAGUGGGUGGUUACAACUACCUGAUCGUGGCCAGCUAUAAUUUGAAGAUUUCUUGGAUCAUGGCUUGCUAUAAUUUGAUAACCACCUGAAUCAUUGUACCGCAGCUACCCACCUUUACUGUUAAGAAUGCCAAUGCACGAAGGUCAGGAGCUGUCGAGCCAUGGGGCUAAUUAUCUAGGUUGGAUUUAUGUUUCAGAAUCUGAGGUUGGUCAAACUGAGCUUAGAAGCUAUUAGCUGGUUGGAUUUAUGCUUCAGGCCCCGAAAUCAGAUAGCUCGAGCUUAGGAACUGGAUGAGUCUUGGAUACCAUAGCUCGAAGGACACAUGACAAGUCUUUCCUACUCAUGAAAGUUGUCUGAGCUCCAUGUUUGAGGUCAGAUAGUGAUAGAAGUCAUUGCUACUUGAAAAUGGACUAUUGCCAAGCUUAAACUGAAAGUCGGAUCAUGCCAAACUUAGGAGCAAGCCUUUGAUGUCGAUCAGAGAUUGGGAAUCAGUUCAGUGUUGCAUUUUGGACUCAACUGCACUGGAUGCUAGAUGGUGCUUCUAAGAGCUCGAUGAUGAUCGACCCACAAAAACUUAGGUGAGAACCAUUUUUCCUUCAACAUAUAUCCCACCUUCACUGGCCUAUCUGGAAGUAGCAGUGAGCGUCGAUCAAUUCAAUCUACUGGUCCAAUAGAUGAAAAAAUUUGAUGGAGGUAGUGUAGGUGAUACAGCAACCUAACCAUGC